UUAAGAAAGCAAGAGCGCACGGUGGAUGCCUAGGCACUAAUAGGCGAAGAAGGACGCGACUAACAGCGAAAUGCUACGGGGAGCAGUAAGUAGGCAAAGAUCCGUAGGUAUCCGAAUGGGGAAACCCACUAGUUAGAAGAGCUAGUAUCGUAUAAUGAAUACAUAGUUAUACGAGGCGAACCCGGGGAACUGAAACAUCUAAGUACCCGGAGGAAAAGAAAACAAAAGUAAUUCCCUAAGUAGAGGCGAUUGAAAGGGGAGGAGCCCAGCACCAAGAAGAGUUAGAAAAUCUUUUUAUAGUAGAAUUGUAUUGGAAAAGCAAGACAAAGAAGGUGAAAUCCCUGUAUACGAAAUAAAGAGAUCUCGGUGUCGGAGUAGGGCGGAGCACGAGGAAUUCUGUCUGAAGAAGUGAGGACCAUCUCAUAAGGCUAAAUACUCAUUAGUGACCGAUAGUGAACCAGUACUGUGAAGGAAAGGUGAAAAGAACCCCUGGCGGGGAGUGAAAAGAACCUGAAACCGUGUGCUUACAAACAGUUAGAGCCCGUCAAAGGGUGAUAGCGUGCCUUUUGUAGAAUGAGCCGGCGAGUUACGUUAAUGUGCGAGGUUAAGUUUUAAGGGACGGAGCCGAAGCGAAAGCGAGUCUGAAGAGGGCGGAAUAGUAGAUUGACGUAUACCCGAAACCGGGUGAUCUAGCCAUGAGCAGGUUGAAGCUUGGGUAAAACCAGGUGGAGGACCGAACCAGGGUCUGUUGAAAAAGACUUGGAUGACUUGUGGCUAGGGGUGAAAUUCCAAUCGAACCCGGAGAUAGCUGGUUCUCCCCGAAAUAGCUUUAGGGCUAGCGUUAUGGAGAAGAGUUAUACGAAGGUAGAGCACUGAAUGGGUGAGGGCCUCAUCUCGAGGUACUGAUCUCAAUCAAACUCCGAAUGUCGUAUAAUAUACAUAGCAGUAAGACUAUGGGUGAUAAGGUUCAUAGUCAAAAGGGAAACAGCCCAGACCGCCAGUUAAGGUCCCAAAAUUAUGCUAAGUGGGAAAGGAGGUGGAGUCGCAUAGACAACUAGGAGGUUGGCUUAGAAGCAGCCAUCCUUUAAAGAGUGCGUAAUAGCUCACUAGUCGAGUGAUUCUGCGCCGAAAAUGUAUCGGGGCUAAGCAUAAUACCGAAGCUGCGGAAUUAGGAAAGAAAGCCUAAUUGGUAGGGGAGCGUACUAAACACGAAGAAGGUUGACCGGGAGGGCAGCUGGAGAGUUUAGCAGUGAGAAUGCCGGUGUGAGUAGCGAUAAGAUGGGUGAGAAUCCCAUCCGUCGGAAGCCUAAGGGUUCCAGGGGUAAGGCUCGUCCGCCCUGGGUAAGUCGGGACCUAAGGUGAGGCCGAAAGGCGUAGCUGAUGGAUAUCAGGUUGAUAAUCCUGGACCACCAUAGAGCUGAAGGAGUGACGGAGGAGGGAAGUUAGGAUGGACUGGUGGAAUAGUCUAAUGAAGCACAAAGAGGGAUACGUAGGAAAAACCGCGUAUUAGAACCUUGAAGUGUAAACCGCAAGGCCUAAUGGACCACACUUCCAAGAAAAGCUUCUAGGAAUACUUUAUGGUGCCCGUACCGUAAACGGACACACGUAGGCGAGGAGAGAAUCCAAAGACGCGCGAGAUAAUUCUUGUUAAGGAACUCUGCAAAAUGACCCUGUAACUUCGGGAUAAAGGGGACUCUAGAGAUAGAGGCGCAGAAAAUAGGCCCAAGCGACUGUUUAACAAAAACAUAGGUUUCUGCUAAAGCGAAAGCUGAUGUAUAGGAGCUGACGCCUGCCCAGUGCUGGAAGGUUAAGAGGAGAUGUAAGUCGCAAGGCAAAGCAUUGAAUUGAAGCCCCAGUAAACGGCGGCCGUAACUAUAACGGUCCUAAGGUAGCGAAAUUCCUUGUCAGGUAAGUUCUGACCCGCACGAAAGGCGUAACGAUUUGGACGGGAAGACCCCAUGGAGCUUCACUGCAGCUUAAUAUUGAUAUUGGGUGUGUGAUGUACAGGAUAGGUGGGAGACGAGGAAGCGAGUACGCUAGUAUUCGUGGAGUCAACGUUGGGAUACCACCCUUCAUACAUUUAGUAUCUAACUAGUAUCCAUGAGCUGGGUAUAGAACAGUGUUAGGUGGGCAGUUUGACUGGGGCGGUCGCCUCCCAAAGAGUAACGGAGGCGCCCAAAGGUUCCCUCAGAAUGGUUGGAAAUCAUUCAAAGAGUGCAAAGGCAGAAGGGAGCUUGACUGCGAGACGGACAGGUCGAGCAGGAACGAAAGUUGGGCUUAGUGAACCGGCUGUACUGAAUGGAAAGGCAGUCGAUCAACGGACAAAAGCUACCCUGGGGAUAACAGGCUGAUCUCCCCCAAGAGUUCACAUCGACGGGGAGGUUUGGCACCUCGAUGUCGGCUCGUCGCAUCCUGGGGCUGGAGAAGGUCCCAAGGGUUGGGCUGUUCGCCCAUUAAAGCGUCACGCGAGCUGGGUUCAGAACGUCGUGAGACAGUUCGGUCCCUAUCUGUCGUGGGCGUAGGAAAUUUGAAGGGAGUCGUCCCUAGUACGAGAGGACCAGGAUGAACGUACCGCUGGUGAAUCAGUUGGCCUGCCAGGGCCACAGCUGGGUAGCUACGUACGGCCGGGAUAAACGCUGAAAGCAUCUAAGCGUGAAGCCCCCCCUGAGAUGAGAUUUCCCAUUAGAGAUAAGUAAGACCCCUUAGAGAUGAUGAGGUAGAUAGGUCAGAGAUGUAAGCACUGUGAGGUGUUGAGUUGACUGAUACUAAUAGGUCGAGGACUUAACCU
rnacentral:rRNA from 1 species